CAGGCAAAAGAUUUGAAAACUCGCUUCACCAAAGAAGACAUCAGAUGGUAAGGAAACCGGUGAAAACAGCUGCUGGGCGGGAAGAGGCGACACUCUGGAAAGUGCUGUGGCCGACCUCACACAGGGAGACGCCCGUCCCAGGCAGCGCGACUACGUGCACCGUGGCACUGACGCGGGCGAAAUGAGCCCGCACUUGGGUGUUUGCUGGGCUCUGUCACAAUCACUAAAAAGCGGAGAAAACCACAUGUCCUCGGUGGGAACUUGCGGGGCCGGAGUGGCAGAAGGCAGGGGGGCUCGGGGACGUGUUUGGAGCCUGGAGCCUGGUGGUCACGUGCCUGCAAUUUGUCAAAACCCUCAGCUCUGUCGCCGGAAGGCUUUGAGCUUCGUGUUUUCCUCUGUGUAUAGUCACUCUCCGGCUCCACGUCCUAUAAACUCCGUGACAACAGGU